UGGGUAACCUGCCUCAAAGAGGGGAAUAGCCUCCCGAAAGGGAGAUUAAUACCGCAUAAUAUGUUUAAGUCGCAUGACUUUAACAUCAAAGGAUUUUCUUUUAGAAAUUCCACUUUGAGAUGGACCCGCGGCGCAUUAGCUAGUUGGUGAGGUAACGGCUCACCAAGGCAACGAUGGGUAGCUGGUCUGAGAGGACGAUCAGCCACACUGGGACUGAGACACGGCCCAGACCUCUACGGGAG
rnacentral:rRNA from 1 species